rnacentral:rRNA from 1 species
AGCCAUUAGCUGAUAUAAAUGGUUAGACCUGCCCGGUGUAUUGAGUAAAUUAACGGCCGCAGUACUUUGACUGUGCUAAGGUAGCAUAAUUAAUUGACUUUUAAAUGGAGUCGGGAAUGAAUGGUAGAACUGGGUUUAACUGUCUUAAAGGUAAUUAACUGAAUUUGCUUUUUAAGUGAAAAAGCUUAAGUUUAAUAAAAAGACGAGAAGACCCUAAGAAUUUUAACAAAUUAGUUCUAUUAGUUUUUAUUGGGGCGAUAAAGAGACAAUUUGGAACUUUCUCGAUAAGACUAGGCGAUAAUGUUAAGUUCGAAUAAAUUACCUUAGGGAUAACAGCAUAAUUUUAAAAUUAAGUUUGUGACCUCGAUGUUGGACUAGGAAACUAGUAGGCUAGCCGUUUACUAUGUGGGUUCUGUUCGAACUUUUA